rnacentral:rRNA from 1 species
UACGAAGGGGGCUAGCGUUGCUCGGAAUCACUGGGCGUAAAGCGCACGUAGGCGGCUUCUUAAGUCAGGGGUGAAAUCCUGGAGCUCAACUCCAGAACUGCCUUUGAUACUGAGAAGCUUGAGUCCGGGAGAGGUGAGUGGAACUGCGAGUGUAGAGGUGAAAUUCGUAGAUAUUCGCAAGAACACCAGUGGCGAAGGCGGCUCACUGGCCCGGUACUGACGCUGAGGUGCGAAAGCGUGGGGAG